GAUGAACGCUGGCGGCGUGCCUAAUACAUGCAAGUCGAGCGAACAGACGAGGAGCUUGCUCCUCUGACGUUAGCGGCGGACGGGUGUGUAAAACGUGGAUAACCUACCUAUAAGACUGGGAUAACUUCGGGAAACCGGAGCUAAUACCGGAUAAUAUAUUGAACCGCAUGGUUCACUAGUGACGGACGUUUUUGCUGUCACUUAUAGAUGGAUCCCCGCCGCAUUAGCUAGUUGGUAAGGUAACGGCUUACCAAGGCAACGAUGCGUAGCCGACCUGAGAGGGUGAUCGGCCACACUGGAACUGAGACACGGUCCAGACUCCUACGGGAGGCAGCAGUAGGGAAUCUUCCGCAAUGGGCGAAAGCCUGACGGAGCAACGCCGCGUGAGUGAUGAAGGUCUUCGGAUCGUAAAACUCUGUUAUUAGGGAAGAACAAAUGUGUAAGUAACUAUGCACGUCUUGACGGUACCUAAACAGAAAGCCACGGCUAACUACGUG
rnacentral:rRNA from 1 species